rnacentral:rRNA from 1 species
GGCCAGCAUCGGUUCGGAUGGUAAGAUAAUUGCGAUUGAAUGUGGCUCUUCGGAGUGUUAUAGCUUUCGUCGAUAUUGCCUGUCUGUACCGAGGCUGCGUCUUUUGACUAGGAUGCUGNCGUNAU